GCGUCGAGCGGCGGACGGGUGAGUAAUGCCUAGGAAAUUGCCCUGAUGUGGGGGAUAACCAUUGGAAACGAUGGCUAAUACCGCAUAAUGCCUACGGGCCAAAGAGGGGGACCUUCGGGCCUCUCGCGUCAGGAUAUGCCUAGGUGGGAUUAGCUAGUUGGUGAGGUAAUGGCUCACCAAGGCGACGAUCCCUAGCUGGUCUGAGAGGAUGAUCAGCCACACUGGAACUGAGACACGGUCCAGACUCCUACGGGAGGCAGCAGUGGGGAAUAUUGCACAAUGGGCGCAAGCCUGAUGCAGCCAUGCCGCGUGUGUGAAGAAGGCCUUCGGGUUGUAAAGCACUUUCAGUCGUGAGGAAGGUGGUGUAGUUAAUAGCUGCAUUACUUGACGUUAGCGACAGAAGAAGCACCGGCUAACUCCGUGCCAGCAGCCGCGGUAAUACGGAGGGUGCGAGCGUUAAUCGGAAUUACUGGGCGUAAAGCGCAUGCAGG
rnacentral:rRNA from 1 species